UGGGUGGUUUCUCUGCUCGGGUUGGUGGCUCGGUUGGAUUUGCUCGUCCGCCCGCGUAUUGCGGCCGUGCUGCUGACUGUGGGCACCAUGCUGGGAUGGCCCGCUGAUCUGUCGUCUUGGGUGUGGCUUGCUUGGUGCCAUGCUGCUGUGCCCGACGCGCGGCCGGGGCACGGUGGACGUGCGUGCCUCACUCCGUGGGCCCGCGUCUGCCAUGCCCAGGCUGCUGAGUGCCCUUCUUCCUUGUCUCCGCCCCGCUGCACCCUCUCCUCGUGGCUCUCCUAGCUUCCUUCGACUGUCCUCUGCUGCGGUCUGUUGCGGUGGCCUCCUUUGCUCUAUGGGCGCCGUUGGUUGAGGUUCGUGCUGCUGUUCUUCUUGUGUUUUCCCCACACCUCUCUUCUUGCUUCGCUCUACUGAUUUCACGUAGUUGGGCAUCUUUCGACUUGCCGUUGUCGCCUGCGUCGAGCCGUGGGUCUUUCUGUCCUUCGCGUUCUGGUUGUUUUCCUCGUUUGUCCUGAUGUUUGGGUCGCGUGCUCCUCCUUCCUAGCUUUGGUUGUACGAUCUCGCCCGUUGCUGCUUGCCAUUUGGUUAUGUGGUACAGUGUGAAUCCUGUGGCUGCCCAGAUCUGAACUGUGCGUAGGGGCCGGCGUUCUCGGCCAGAUUUGGGCGUUCUUGCUGACUUUCUGUCUAACCUCUCCACAAGUAUACUAGCCCAUUUCUGUUUAUUUGAUUUUCCUUUCCAGGUACAUGCUUUAGUUUAUCCUGGUUUGCAUACCUUUUUAUGUUACCUUGGUAGUCGAUGCAGAAUCACAAAUGCAAAAUGAGAUGCGCAAAUGUGAGGAUAGACCUAUGGUUCGCGUUCACAACUUGUUCUUGUUAAAAGAACUACUCUACAAGUUUUUUGCAAGUUACAGUAAUUGUGAGGAUAUGAUACCUUAUAGAAAUGAUGCCUUAGUGUUUCUUGCUUGCAUCUGCAUUGUUGCAUGCCGUGAUUGUGUUCUGACCAGUUCAUUUCUGUAUUUUACAGGUUGUAUGAUCUUGUGCGUUGCUGCAUCUCCGUUCUGUUUGUUGCUUCAUCGCCGUUACAAUUUUUGAGAUAUCUAAGCUGACGUCUUGAAUAGUUCAUAACAGUCAGUCGGAACUGCAGGAGUCAUCUUCACCUUAAUCUAAAAUAAGAUCGGAACUGCAGGAGUCAUCUUCACCUUAAUCUAAAAUAAGAAGGUUUUCCUUUUGCUAGAUCUCUGAAAAAUCUGCAGUGGAGUAAGCGCUGGCGUUACCUAUUGCUCUGGUUUUUUAAGUUAAUUGCAGCUGGCAAAUCUUGCACUGAUGUUUUGAGUUCCAUCGUUCGCUGUGUGGAAGCUACUGAAUUCUAUAGUAGUGGAACACUUGUUCUGGUCUGGUCAUCUUGUAAUUUUCCUUUUUGCAGCUUAACUAUUGUAGGUAGACAGACUCUAUACAUACUGAAGAAAUGUGCCCGUCCGACAGUCCUUCAUGCUCAGUUGUACACUUGUAGUGAUAGCUUUGGGUACUGUGUGCACCCUUUCAUGUAAUUGUGUUACCCCGGAGAAAUUUAUAACUAUGAUCUCACAUACUUCAACUCA